CCUACGGGUGGCUGCAGUGAGGAAUAUUGGUCAAUGGGCGCGAGCCUGAACCAGCCAAGUCGCGUGAAGGAUGCCUGCCCUACGGGUUGUAAACUUCUUUUAUAAAGGAAUAAAGUGCGGCACGUGUGCCUUUUUGUAUGUACUUUAUGAAUACGGAUGGGCUAACUCCGUGCCAGCAGCCGCGGUAAUACGGAGGAUCCGAGCGUUAUCCGGAUUUAUUGGGUUUAAAGGGAGCGUAGAUGGGUUGUUAAGUCAGUUGUGAAAGUUUGCGGCUCAACCUGAAAAUUGCAAUUGAUACUGGCAGCCUUGAGUACAGUAGAGGUAGGCGGAAUUCGUGGUGUAGCGGUGAAAUGCUUAGAUAUCACGAAGAACUCCGAUUGCGAAGGCAGCUUACUAAACUGCCACUGACAUUGAUGCUCGAAAGUGUGGGUAUCAAACAGGAUUAGAUACCCUGGUAGUC
rnacentral:rRNA from 1 species